rnacentral:Y_RNA from 1 species
GGUGGGUCUGAGUGUAGCAGUGUUUACAACUAAUUGAUCACAGCAGUUACAGACUUCUUUGUUCUUUCUCCACUCCCACUGCUUCACUUGACUAACUUUAC